rnacentral:lncRNA from 1 species
GCUUCAUCCACGGCCCACUUCCUGCUGUCACCUGAAGAUGUCCAUCCUGAAGAGGUUUGAAAAAAGUUCGGGGCAGCUGUGGGCCACAGGAAAGCGCUGGGGUCUGGACGUGCAGAUGGCGCCUUUGUUGGGUCCCCUGAGCCAUGCGGCUGCAGGAGAAGGACAGAUGGCGCAGCAGUGAGAGUGGCAGCUCUUUGUUUGCUGAGCGACUCCCGGUCUGCGCCUGCAUGACCUCUGUGGCUGAGGCGAGCUGGAAGCUCCUUCCUGGGCGCGUGGACCAGGCCUAGCAGGGCACCUGACAGCGGGGCUCACAGGCAUGUGCACUGCCCACUGCUGCCGGGCUCUGGACGGGACGGCGGGGUGGCCGGCUCCGUGACUGACACAUGUGCUGAGCAGUGUGCUGGGACACGCCUGCAUGCGGACACACAUGAGCAGAGGACAGGGAGCAGGACCCUCUCUGCUGGACACGCAGAGGCACAGGGGCCCUGGGCAGUGGCUCAGCUGGUGACAGGGGCACAGCCACGCAGUGUGUGGGCUGAGCACAGGCUCUGGGGGCCAGCGGGAGUCCCUGAUGAGAACCCAAGAGUGACAGCCGUCCUUCCUGCGUACCAUUCACACUUCCACAACUGCUCAGCACUGUUUUGCCAUUCAAGUUCGUGCGUGCAGAGCUGAUGGCUUUGCCUCACUUUGAAGUAGUAGGACAGAGGUGAGCGAUGUAGGACUUCAGUCACCCACCACGUCUUCCCUCCUCCCGGCAUGUGGUGUGGAAGUGCAUGGGGCGGGAGUGCCAGGUGUGAGUGGGCAGCAUGGCCGGCUGCGUCCUGGUCCGGCUGGGUCCUGGUCCGGCUGGGUCCUGGGCUGGGUAGGUCCUGGGCUGGCUGGGUCCUGGGCUGGCUGGGUCCUGGUUUGUCUGAGCUGAAGGUCUGGACACGCCCUCCCCAGCUUUUACUUUGCUGAUCAACAAAUGCCUCUCAGGAGUGCACUUCGUACCAGGCAUGCGAGCAGAAUGGAACCUUUGCUUCCACUUAGCCACACACUCCUCUGAUUUUGCUUGCGAAGUGUGAAUGCGCUCUCGCUGUAUGUCCCACAUCUGCCCCUACCAGCACGAGACGUCCGCAUG